GAACGGAUCCUUCGGGAUUAGUGGCAGACGGGUGAGUAACGCGUGGGAAGCUACCUUGUGGUAGGGAACAACAGUUGGAAACGACUGCUAAUACCCUAUGAGCCCUAUGGGGGAAAGAUUUAUCGCCAUGAGAUGUGCCCGCGUUAGAUUAGCUAGUUGGUAAGGUAAUGGCUUACCAAGGCGACGAUCUAUAGCUGGUCUGAGAGGAUGAUCAGCCACACUGGGACUGAGACACGGCCCAGACUCCUACGGGAGGCAGCAGUGGGGAAUAUUGGACAAUGGGGGCAACCCUGAUCCAGCCAUGCCGCGUGAGUGAUGACGGCCUUAGGGUUGUAAAGCUCUUUCAGCAGUGAAGAUAAUGACAUUAACUGCAGAAGAAGCCCCGGCUAACUUCGUGCCAGCAGCCGCGGUAAUACGAAGGGGGCUAGCGUUGUUCGGAAUCACUGGGCGUAAAGCGUACGUAGGCGGACUGAUCAGUCAGGGGUGAAAUCCCGGGGCUCAACCCCGGAACUGCCUUUGAUACUGUCAGUCUUGAGAUCGAGAGAGGUGAGUGGAACUCCGAGUGUAGAGGUGAAAUUCGUAGAUAUUCGGAAGAACACCAGUGGCGAAGGCGGCUCACUGGCUCGAUACUGACGCUGAG
rnacentral:rRNA from 1 species